UACGUAGGGUGCGAGCGUUGUCCGGAAUUACUGGGCGUAAAGAGCUCGUAGGUGGUUUGUCGCGUUGUUCGUGAAAUCUCACGGCUUAACUGUGAGCGUGCGGGCGAUACGGGCAGACUAGAGUACUGCAGGGGAGACUGGAAUUCCUGGUGUAGCGGUGGAAUGCGCAGAUAUCAGGAGGAACACCGGUGGCGAAGGCGGGUCUCUGGGCAGUAACUGACACUGAGGCGCGAAAGCGUGGGGAGCAAACAGG
rnacentral:rRNA from 1 species